ACAGAUUGAUGGCGACCGGCGCACGGGUGAGUAACGCGUAUGCAACUUACCUAUCAGAGGGGGAUAGCCCGGCGAAAGUCGGAUUAAUACCCCAUAAAACAGGGGUCCCGCAUGGGAAUAUUUGUUAAAGAUUCAUCGCUGAUAGAUAGGCAUGCGUUCCAUUAGGCAGUUGGCGGGGUAACGGCCCACCAAACCGACGAUGGAUAGGGGUUCUGAGAGGAAGGUCCCCCACAUUGGUACUGAGACACGGACCAAACUCCUACGGGAGGCAGCAGUGAGGAAUAUUGGUCAAUGGCCGAGAGGCUGAACCAGCCAAGUCGCGUGAAGGAAGAAGGAUCUAUGGUUUGUAAACUUCUUUUAUAGGGGAAUAAAGUGGAGGACGUGUCCUUUUUUGUAUGUACCCUAUGAAUAAGCAUCGGCUAACUCCGUGCCAGCAGCCGCGGUAAUACGGAGGAUGCGAGCGUUAUCCGGAUUUAUUGGGUUUAAAGGGUGCGUAGGUGGUGAUUUAAGUCAGCGGUGAAAGUUUGUGGCUCAACCAUAAAAUUGCCGUUGAAACUGGGUUACUUGAGUGUGUUUGAGGUAGGCGGAAUGCGUGGUGUAGCGGUGAAAUGCAUAGAUAUCACGCAGAACUCCGAUUGCGAAGGCAGCUUACUAAACCAUAACUGACACUGAAGCACGAAAGCGUGGGGAUCAAACAGGAUUAGAUACCCUGGUAGUCCACGCAGUAAACGAUGAUCACUAGCUGUUUGCGAUACACUGUAAGCGGCACAGCGAAAGCGUUAAGUGAUCCACCUGGGGAGUACGCCGGCAACGGUGAAACUCAAAGGAAUUGACGGGGGCCCG
rnacentral:rRNA from 1 species